GUACACGCUGUGACUAGCAUAUCAAUAAGCGGAGGAAAAGAAACUAACAAGGAUUCCCCUAGUAACGGCGAGUGAAGCGGGAAGAGCUCAAAUUUGAAAUCUUAAAGGGUUUCCCUUUACGAAUUGUAGUUUAAAGAAGUGUUUUCUGUUGAGGUUUUGGUAAAAGUUCUUUGGAAUAGGACAUCAUAGAGGGUGAGAAUCCCGUAUUUGACCUUUACUUUCAACUUUGUGAUACACUUUCAAAGAGUCGGAUUGUUUGGGAAUGCAGUCCAAAAUGGGUGGUAAAUCUCAUCUAAAGCUAAAUAUUGGCGAGAGACCGAUAGCGAACAAGUACCGUGAGGGAAAGAUGAAAAGAACUUUGAAAAGAGAGUUAAACAGUACGUGAAAUUGUCAAAAGGGAAGCGUUUAACACCAGUGUUGUUUUUCUGAAAAUCAAUUAAAGAACUGUUUAUGCUAAGUUGUUUAGACUUUAUCAGCUAACUGUUUAGUUUUGAGCUUUUCUUUAAUGCACUUUUCAGUUAACAAGUCAACAUCAAUUUCUUUUGCUGUAAAAAAGCUUGAGGAAGGUGGCUUGAGAUUCGUCUUAAGUGUUUAUAGCCUCUUGCCUAUGCAGUCGGAGAGAUUGAGGUCUGCAGCGUAGAUCCUUCGGGGCUAAAUGCAUUUGUGCUAAGUUAUAGGCAUUUCAUAGACAACUUGUUGACUAUGAUUUGUCUUGUAGCUUACUCGCUUAUGUUAUUUUACCUACGCUUAGGAUGUUGACAGCAGUAUAGACUGU
rnacentral:rRNA from 1 species